GAUGAUCUUGUAAAAUAAAAUUCAGAGGCAAAAUUGAUAAUACAGGCGUUCCUAGAAAUUGGUCGGCACUGCAAGCUAGGAAGAUGGACCUGGUUUCAUCACCAACCAAAAUCCCACCCGCUCUUCUCAUCCCGGUUACUACUUGCUCAUCAUACAACACCAAUAAUCAUCGUAAUAGUAGUAAGCUUAUUUUGCCAAACACUGCCUUAACCAAUUUGACAAUCUCAUCGUCUGCUUCCAUAGCCACUAGUUUCAUCCACGUCUCCAAUCCCAAUGCUUGGUCAGGCACCUCCCGAGCCGCCACUCCAUCUCCGCCGUCGCCGCCUGAUCCUGAUAAACUCCCUACCCCACCCCCAGGUGUUCCAAUGACUCUGUCCAGAUUUAAAGACGUUGCACAGGUCUUUGUCGGUGUUCUGUUCUGGAUGGCAGUCUUCUUCUGGGCUUCUGCAUGGGAUGGAAGGGAUAAGCCGGACAAAGGAUCUCGAUUUCGAAGAUAACUCAGUAAACAUUUAUUAUGUAUAUACUAUGUAGUAUUGUAGUUACAGAAUUUGAUGGAACAUAUUUCUCCAGGAAUUAUGAUUUAUAUAGAUCUAUAUUCAUCCUAAAGAAUUCUUAAUCUAUUUGUUAUAUAUCUUUUGCACA